rnacentral:rRNA from 1 species
GAUGAACGCUGGCGGCGUGCUUAACACAUGCAAGUCGAACGGAAAGGCCCAAGCUUGCUUGGGUACUCGAGUGGCGAACGGGUGAGUAACACGUGGGUGAUCUGCCCUGCACUUCGGGAUAAGCCUGGGAAACUGGGUCUAAUACCGGAUAGGACGAUGGUUUGGAUGCCAUUGUGGAAAGUUUUGUCGGUGUGGGAUGAGCUCGCGGCCUAUCAGCUUGUUGGUGGGGUAAUGGCCUACCAAGGCGUCGACGGGUAGCCGGCCUGAGAGAGUGUACGGCCACAUUGGGACUGUGAGGCGGGCCAGAGUCCUACGGGAGGCAGCAGUGGGGAAUAUUGCACAAUGGGCGCAAGCCUGAGGCAGCGACGCCGCGUGGGGGAUGACGGCCUUCGGGUUGUAAACUCCUUUCGCUAGGGACGAAGCGUUUUUGUGACGGUACCUGGAGAAGAAGCACCGGCUAACUACGUG